GUGAACUUAUACUCGCUUAGGUAAGAUUUGGACAAUACAGAAAACAUGAGCAUUGCCCCUUAGCAAUGAUGACAUUCCAAUUCAUGAAGUGAUCCCUAUUUUU